CCACGCUGUGUUAAAAUAAAGACUCUGAAGAAACAAACCAAGCAAAGGAGUGAGAGUGUCAGUGGCAGGUGGGAUUCUGUUUUUAGAUGGCACCAACAAGGCGGGCCUGUCAGAAGGAAGCCUGAGUGGAGAGCUAAAGGAUGACCUGAGAUAGUAAGAGGCCAAUGGAAUCACGCGCUAAGAGCAGCCCGAGCGAAGGCCCUGAGGAGGUGAGGCCUCAUUAUUCGACCAGAAAAAUGUCCUGGAGAAAUAGCCCGUGGAGAAGGCUGUUGACCCUUCAGAUUUAAAAGUGAGUCCAUGCAAGGGGGGUGGGGGUGGGGGAUACGUACUAGACAUGAAAUGAUACUGGGAAUUAUGGUGAAUUUCUAUAGGGUGGCGGCAGCAGGGCGAUUUCUAUGUCCCCCUUCGAGCCAUACUGAAUUUCUUACUGUUCAUCAGGAAAGAUCUAAGCAACAUGC